UUCUACGUUAUAAGAUGGGUCGGAAAGUUUUUUCGCUAAGAGAUCGGCCUAUAUCCUAUCAGUUAGUUGGUGAGGUAAUGGCUCACCAAGGCAAUGACGGGUAGCGGGUCUGAGAGGAUGAUCCGCCACACUGGUACUGAGACACGGACCAGACUCCUACGGGAGGCAGCAGUGAGGAAUAUUGCACAAUGGGGGAAACCCUGAUGCAGCAACGCCGCGUGGAGGAUGACGCAUUUCGGUGUGUAAACUCCUUUUAUAUGUCAAGAAAAUGACGGUAGCAUAUGAAUAAGCACCGGCUAACUCCGUGCCAGCAGCCGCGGUAAUACGGAGGGUGCAAGCGUUACUCGGAAUCACUGGGCGUAAAGGACGCGUAGGCUGUUUAGCAAGUCAGAUGUGAAAUCCAAUGGCUCAACCAUUGAACUGCAUUUGAAACUGCUAGACUAGAGUAUGGGAGGGGGAG
rnacentral:rRNA from 1 species